GACGAACGCUGGCGGCGUGCCUAAUACAUGCAAGUCGAACGAGAAAUUCUUACACCGGAUGCUUGCAUCCACCGUAAGAUUUCGAGUGGCGGACGGGUGAGUAACACGUGGGUAACCUACCCAAAAGAAGGGGAUAACAUUUGGAAACAAGUGCUAAUACCGUAUAACCAUGAUGACCGCAUGGUCAUGAUGUAAAAGGUGGUUUUGCUAUCGCUUUUGGAUGGACCCGCGGCGUAUUAACUAGUUGGUAAGCCGUUACCUU
rnacentral:rRNA from 1 species